AGAGUUUGAUCCUGGCUCAGGAUGAACGCUAGCUACAGGCUUAACACAUGCAAGUCGAGGGGCAGCGGGAUUGAAGCUUGCUUCAAUUGCCGGCGACCGGCGCACGGGUGAGUAACGCGUAUCCAACCUUCCGUACACUCAGGGAUAGCCUUUCGAAAGAAAGAUUAAUACCUGAUGGUAUGAUGAAAUUGCAUGAUAGCAUCAUUAAAGAUUUAUCGGUGUACGAUGGGGAUGCGUUCCAUUAGGUAGUAGGCGGGGUAACGGCCACUAGCCUACGAUGGAUAGGGGUUCUGAGAGGAACGGUCCCCCANAUUGGAACUGAGACACGGUCCAAACUCCGUACGGGAGGCA
rnacentral:rRNA from 1 species